AGGCCGUGACCAUGACUGUGAAGGUGGAAGAACACUGAGACAGUGCAGGAAGUUUUUUCUUGGCUGUUUCAUUAAUUUAUGGAUGUGGUAUGCAAAGCAGAAUCUGCAAACAGAAAGGGAAAUAAGAGCUUCCUCUCAUUCCCUCCGCUACUGCAGAAAAACCCUUGGAAGGGGAAAAAGAACCCGACAUGCAAGAAGAUGCAUUAAGCAUGAGACAACAACCACAGGGAAGCUGUAUGGAUCUCAUGAAGAUUACUUCUGACCAGAGGCAGAAGCCACCAGGUGCUGCCAUGCUUGUGCUGUGGCUGCUGGGAACACCCUUUUUAGAAGACAUUACACCUCAGGGAUAUGUGAUGGUACCAGAAACAAUGAGCUCCAGUCGUAUAGCAUGAGGCUUGAAAGUCCUGCCAGGGGUUGUGAACACCACAGGGUGGCCAAUAUGAAACACUUCAGUCACAUUCUGUGCUAAAGUGUAAUUACUGGAUGCAAGCGGAUCUCUAAUUUUAACCAGUCCGUUCCCCCACAGUUACUAUGGUGCCAGCAUUUCCUUUGUAAUGACUCCACUUUGCAGGAAUGCCUCAUUACCUAAAAAGAAAUCAUGCUUGGCUGCAGUCUAGAACACAGCAACAGAACAAAUUUACCUCAUUAAAAAGAUUGGCUCAGUCAUUUCUUUUUAAAUUAUGCAAUGGAAAGCAGUUUAAAAAUGUCCACUUGCCCCCAUAUACUUCAAAAUAUAUCUUGAGUUAAACAGCCCCAUCUGGCAAUCAAGGUGCAAAGUACAUACUGUGAUAACAUUUUCAUGCACCCUGAUGAAAUGGUACUCCAAGAUAUGACAGAACAUGUGUUCAGUUUUCAAAUGCGGAUGCUUAAAAUUAGAUCAUGUUAAACAUAGCAUAUACGCUUGUAAAUGGGCUUGAAGAUACCUAAACACCAUUUAUACAUCUAAAUAAUUUUAAGCACCCAACUGUAGGGUACUAAU